GAUACAAGUUUUUUUCAAAGUAGGUAGUGACAAUUUGUAUCUAUUUUUUUUUUCUAUUUGCAACCCUAACCUAAACAUGUAUUAUGAAUUCGAUCCCAAACUCUUGGUAAAUCAAAUUAGUUUGUAGAAUAAGGCGUAGAUAGUAUUUUAUAACUGACAAAAUCGACAUGGCAUCAAGCGCUCAUCAUUCGAUUUUCUUUAUCGCAGAGCUAAUUAACUGGUCGCGGGCUGCGGGCAGCGUGCGCAUACGCAGGCGCGCGGCUCACGCACCUCCACGUGCCUUAUAGUAAAUAUCUGACUGACAACGACGUGGAGGCCUGCGUUCGAGCCUGUCCUAAUCUUAUGGAGCUGAAAGUGGAGUAUUGUUCGUUAAUAACGCGCGACGUGUUGGCGCGCGCCGCCGCUGCGCGUCGCGCCGUUCGCGCGCAUCCCCCGCUGCGUCUGCUCUUGUCCGACUAUGACUUGCGCAGGAGUGAUCCUGAAAACCGUGAGCCCAUACCAACUUUUGAAGAGCUUGACUUACCCUACAUUCGUACUACCUAAUGGAGAUUUUUAAAAACAUGCAGUCAUGUAAAGAAGUGUUUUCUAUGGCUACCUAUCAUUUGUUUAUGGUAGGUAUAUUAUAUAUACCUGUGCAAAUUUGUUUACAGAGAACCUAAACUUACCGCGAACCACGUUCGACUUGUUGCUUCCCUGUCUACUGAUAGUUGAUACUGAUGCUUAUACUUACGUGUAAAUUUACAAGUGCGACAAAGGGGCAACACGCCGAACAUGGGUAAUGAAUGAGUAAUCCACGAUAAUGUGCUAGAGGCGCCAUCUGCGCACUUAUGUGUGUGUAUUAUCUAUAAUAUUAAUUAGUUGUAAAAUAUUUUUGAUCUCGAAUUGUAAACGUAAAAAAAUAUUUUGUUGAGGUAAGAGUAAUGUUGACUGUUAGGUGUUGUACCUGUUAAGAUAUUGCAGUUGAAUAUAAUUAUAUUGUAACAAAUGCAAAUAAUCA